GACGAACGCUGGCGGCAUGCCUAAUACAUGCAAGUCGAGCGAACAGAUGAAGUGCUUGCACUUCUGACGUUAGCGGCGAACGGGUGAGUAACACGUAAGGAAUCUACCUAUAAGCGGGGGAUAACAUUCGGAAACGGGUGCUAAUACCGCAUAAUAUCCUCUUCCGCAUGGAAGAAGAUUGAAAGACGGCUCUGCUGUCACUUAUAGAUGACCUUGCGGUGCAUUAGUUAGUUGGUGGGGUAAUGGCCUACCAAGACGAUGAUGCAUAGCCGACCUGAGAGGGUGAUCGGCCACAUUGGGACCGAGACACGGCCCAAACUCCUACGGGAGGCAGCAGUAGGGAAUCUUCCGCAAUGGGCGAAAGCCUGACGGAGCAAUGCCGCGUGAGUGAAGAAGGCCUUCGGGUCGUAAAACUCUGUUAUAAGAGAAGAACAAAUUGUAGAGUAACUGCUACAGUCUUGACGGUAUCUUAUCAGAAAGCCACGGCUAACUACGUGCCAGCAGCCGCCGUAA
rnacentral:rRNA from 1 species